AAAAAAAAAAAAAAGAUGUUUUUUAGUAACCAAUUAGAAGUAACCAGUUGCACUUGGAUCCUUCAACACCUAAACCUGCUGAAUAUAUUGGCCAAACGUAUAAGAACGGAAGAGGAAAAUUCCAAUUCAAUUAUGAAUCCCUAAACCUGCUGAAUGUGAAAGUCAAACGUAGAAAAACAGAAGAGAAAAAUUAAGUUGAAGACCCAAACAAUGAAGCUUUAAAAACCAGUCCCAGUUAUACUUUAAAUCCAACGAUACUCCAGAUUGAACCCCAGAUCCUGCCAAACAUAAGACACUGAACCGUAGAAGAAUGGAAGAAAUCAUGGUGAAAAUCCACAAACAAAAAAAUUUGAUAACCAGUUAAAAGUCAUCAGUUAUACUUGCGUCCUUUAACACCCAAAAGUUUGAAAAUCCCUAAUCCUUAUCCUGCCAGACGAAAGAGAAAAAUUUUGAAAAUCCAAACAAAGAAGCAGCAGCUGUUAAAAACCUGUCCCAAUUAUACUUAAAUCUUCCAGUACUCCAAAGUGAUGUUUAGGUUGAAGGUUUAAAAACCCGUGGAAAGUCCAAUUGCAAAUCCCAGCUCCUGACAAACAUAAGACACUGAAUCCUAGGAAAAAGGGAAGAGAUUAAGGUGAAGAUCCAGAAAAAACCAGCCACCAGUUAUGCUUAGGUCCUUCAAUACCCAAGUCCAAAUACAAAUCCCUGAUCCUGUGGAAUAUAGAAGAGCCAAACGUAGAGCAAAAGACAAUAUUAAGUUGAAAAUCCAAACAUGAAGCUUUAAAAACUAUACAA